rnacentral:rRNA from 1 species
UGGGGGAUAUUGCACAAAUGGGGGAAACCCUGAUGCAGCGACGCCGCGUGAGGGAAGACGGUCCUCUGGAUUGUAAACCUCUGUCUUCGGGGACGAAACGAGACGGUACCCGAGGAGGAAGCCACGGCUAACUACGUGCCAGCAGCCGCGGUAAUACGUAGGUGGCAAGCGUUGUCCGGAAUUACUGGGUGUAAAGGGAGCGUAGGCGGGCAGGCAAGUCAGGCGUGAAAGAUAUCGGCUCAACCGGUAGCUGCGCUUGAAACUGCAGGUCUUGAGUGAAGUAGAGGUUGGCGGAAUUCCUAGUGUAGCGGUGAAAUGCGUAGAUAUUAGGAGGAACACCAGUGGCGAAGGCGGCUUGCUGGACUGUUACUGACGCUGAGGCACGAAAGCGUGGGGAGCAAACAGGGAUUAGAUACCCUGGUAGU